rnacentral:rRNA from 1 species
GACGAACGCUGGCGGCGUGCUUAACACAUGCAAGUCGAACGAAAAGAGGGAAAGAGCUUGCUCUUUCCGGAAUUGAGUGGCAAACGGGUGAGUAACACGUAAACAACCUGCCUUCAGGAUGGGGACAACAGACGGAAACGACUGCUAAUACCGAAUAAGUUCCAAGGGCCGCAUGGCCCAUGGAAGAAAAGGUGGCCUCUACCUGUAAGCUAUCGCCUGAAGAGGGGUUUGCGUCUGAUUAGCUGGUUGGAGGGGUAACGGCCCACCAAGGCGACGGUCAGUAACCGGUCUGGGAGGAUGGACGGCCACACUGGGAUUGGGACACGGUCCAGACUCCUAAGGGAGGCAGCAGUGGGGAAUCUUCCGGAAUGGGCGAAAGCCUGACCGGGCAACGCCGCGGGAGGGAUGACGGCCUUCGGGUUGCAAAACUCUGUGAUCCGGGACGAAAAGGCAGAGUGCGAAGAACAAACUGCAUUGACGGUACCGGAAAAGCAAGCCACGGCUAACUACGUG